GACACACAGAUCAAUUGAUUGAUGCAUGGUGACAGUGUUUUGUCUCGAAGGAAUCCUUUUCAUCGCAUCAAGCCAAUGGCCCUGUUUGUUAUACCUCCGUGGGGACGUUUGUGGCUUUUGUGGCAAACCCUCCCCUGAAUCAACUGCUGUAAAUUAAUGAUGAGCUAUUUAACAGCGGUGCAACGAACGUCACGGUGUAUCGAUUCGCAUUAAACAUUUAAUGCAACCCGAUAUUCUAACCUACGACCCGAUAGGAAAGAUUCCAGCACUACACUGAUUUGCUGCAAACAAUAGCAAAACCCCGUAACAAUGCACACUCAUACAAUCUUGUGGCAAUGAAACGAUGUUGCUAUUAUUUGAUUUUUUUUUUUUGCUGUUGUUUUCCCUGUCACGAUAGUGCUAUUUCCCUUGAAGAAAGCUCGGUUUUGCCCGCACCGGUUCAAGGUGAGUGUGACAUUAAUUAUAGAUUUGCUUUCGGUCGUGAAAUGACCAAACGGAGCUGGAUGAGUUGGUGCAAAUGUGCACACGUGGGGAAACGCUAUGCAAUUAAAUGCACCACCCAUCCGGAAGGCAGUUAUCCAGCCAGCAGUUUUGCGAAAAGAGAAUUAUGUUGCAUUUUUGAGUUCCAUUUUCUCCGGUACCAUUCACAGUCGCACGAAUGGUGGGCUUUAGAUCAGUUGUGUAGGAAAUAUUAAGAGGAAAAAAUCUUCCUUCCCAGUGCGAUUAGAGCUCUUUUACUUUUUUGUUGGUGUUUAAAAUGAGCUUAUCGGUACAAGUUUUAUCUAUUUGCUUUCUGUUUGUUUCGGUUGGUUCGGAGGUGGCGGAAAUUGUUAUUAACAAAACAGAAUGUGGAAAGGAUGCAGCAUUCAAUAUCACGGCUUACUACCAAAUGCCUCCACUCUAUCUGUACGAUGAUUACGACCGCUGUCUGGAGGAGUUCCCGGUGCGUGCCACGUACUGUUUAGUAGACAGUUGGAUCGUACCAAACGACACCAUACCCCUCUGGUCCGUGAUAGAGCAAUUCUCCACCGAUACAAAGCGUAGCUUCCGGCAUGAUCGACUACAGCGAGGUCUUUGUAUGAACCGCUGCCACCAGCUAAUGAGCAAGUUCGAUCGACGCACUCAGAUGAAAUACUUCCAGUCCCGCUUCGUACCGAACGAUUCGCAGGAGAUUACGUUCGAUCCGAAUACGUUCCGUGAGGCGCUCGAUUGGCGUAACCGGUAUCGCCGUUUAGCCAAUCAAUGUGUCAAUUACGAGCUGAAGCGUCAGUACACUCUGAUGGCAUACAGCACAGUCGAAUAUUGUGUGACGAACAGGCAGCAGGCAGAACGGGAUGUAUUCGUGUCCGGUUUGGUAACAUCCUCGGAAGCUUUAGAUGAGAUCGAUGUUGUGUUUCUAUUUAUUUUCGGUCUACUGUUGGUGCUUACCCUGAUGUCCAUGGUGUACGAUUCUUACCGAUAUCGUCGAACAAAACCACACGACACGACUGGUACGGAUGGAUUAAGCGAUUACUAUCGAUCCGGGCUCGAACGUUGUAACGGUGUAAGCCGAUGGACCAUUUUGCUGGUAUCAUUCUCCCUUCCCCGGAACUGGCAUUUACUGACAAUGGCCCGGAAAAAAGCGACCACAUCCACGAAAGAUUUGCGCUUCAUACAGUCGGUACGGUUUCUUGUGAUGUAUCUCGUCAUCGCUGGCCACUCAAUGCUGUUUAAUUGCAUCUUUCCACUGCACAAUCCACAGUACGUGGAGUUGAACUAUCGCCGGUUUAUCACGAUGCUUAUAUUUAAUGGUAUUACGGUGGUGCAAACGUACUUUACCAUUAGCGGUUUUCUGUUGGCCGUUCACUUUGUGGAUUUUGCUGAAAAACAGCGGCACUUUCGUUUGAGGGACUUUUUGCAAAGCAUUCUAUACCGGUUUUUAAGAUUAACACCAGUCUAUGCGUUUAUGAUGCUGCUGGACGCGUCCUGGUUGAUCCGAUUGCAGGAUGGACCGGUAUGGAAGCGUGUAGCCGAAACGGAGCGUACCUACUGUCGAAGCAACUGGUGGGCGAAUGUGCUGUACGUGAAUAACUACUUCACCGUAUCGGAACCGUGUUUGCAACAGACCUGGUACCUUGCAACGGACUUUCAACUGUUUAUCAUCGGGCUUACUAUACUGACACUUACAUGGCGCUACCCGAAGCUACUCAAACCAUUGCUAGCUGUGGCCGUGGCGGGAGCACUUACAAUACCGGCUAUCGUCACAUACGCCAAUCGGUUUGAGGGAGUCGUAAUCUUACGGCCCGAAGCCCUCAAGUAUGUGCUGUGGUAUGAUGCCAUGUAUCGCAAGAUGUACAUUCCGACGCACACUAAUUUUGGCAGCUAUCUGGCCGGGUUGAUAGCUGGUUUGAUGUACCACAAGUUGAAGCGUGCCAGCUUCGAUGCCAUGCGUCAUAGAGGCUUUCUCGUGCUCUGGUACACAUCACUACCGGCCGCGGUCAUUCUACUACUGUCAGCCUACAUAUUUUAUGCGUACGACUUUACCAAACCCGCCAUCUGGAUAGCGGUUUAUGCGGCACUAGCAAAAAAUCUCUGGGGCGCACUUUUUGGCGUACUGUUCGUUGGGGUAGCGUUCGGUGUUGGCGGAUUUCUACGUACCGCUCUUAAUAGUUCGAUCUUUCGACCACUGGGCAAGGUGACGUACUGUGUGUUCCUGUGCCAUCUCUUUGUGAUUCGCGUCACGUUGGGCAAUGUACGACAGCCGAUCUACGUAAGCGAUAUGCGUAUUCUUGUAUCAACUUCAUCCACCCUUGUGCUGGCCUACAUUAUGGGAACGUUGAUGUGUCUGCUGAUAGAGAUACCAUUCUCGAAUAUUCAGAAACAUUUAUUCUUCUUUAAAAAAGAAAAUAUCUACAAGGAAGAAAUUCAACUUGUUGCCAAUGGAUGUACCAGUCAAUCCGGAUGUCUUGGAGAAGGAACCAAAGAACCAGCGAUGGAACCAUAAAUAAUUCCUAGCAAAUUUUAAAUCCUAAAAAGGUAAGGUAACUAAUUUAAUUUGAAUCUCAAACAACGAACACAAAAAUCUUGCUUACAAAUCAAAAAAUUUAAUUGAAUAAAAAUGAGCUUUAGAGGAGAUUAUGUUGAUGUACUAUUUUAACAUUAGAAUAAGAAGCGUUAGCUGAAAGUGGAGAGGUUAAAAUAAACUUUAACUAUCACUUUCGUAUCGUUAGAAUCGACUGCCAUCUGUCGAUUAGAAGUGCACACAACAGACAAAGUAAAGGACCAUUGCCCAUUCAAAAUUAGCUCCAUUGACGCACAAUCAAAGCUACUCUACGUUCUGCUUAUAACGCGAUCACAUUUUCUUGCUGCAAAUGUGGGUACCGCGCGGCAACAGAACCCCAUUCACCACAUACCGGACUAUUCUCGGAAUCAUUGCACCUCGGGAAAGUUGUAAAAUGUUCUCAGACAGGAAAUGGAUACAGUGGGAUAUGGCACGGUGGUUGCAUAUAUGUUCUAGGUUGGUUUACACCUAGCAAAUGUUCUACUUAUUAAGUAAGAAACCAGUUCAGCGUUCGUUUUCCUCGUAGACAAGCCAACAACAAGGGUACCGCAGUAACGCAUACGAAUGUGCGUUCUUAUUUGUGAUUAAGUCAUUAGUGAGCUGUGAGUGAUUUCGAUGCGUUAUAAGAAACGAACGGUUGGAUAAAAUUGUCGAGUGGAUUAAUUUUGAAUCAUAUUAAAUUGUUUUUGCUUAUCAUAGCUUUAAUAGUUUUUGUGUUUAAAUAUUUUAAAAUAUAUUUUUAUCACCCUUAUUGGAUUUUAAGUUACCAGAUGAAGAUGAAUAAAACAUUGGCGAAAGAAACUUUGCUUUAGUCGUCAAUUUGUGAUUAAAAAAAGCUAUUUAAAUAAUAACAAAAUUGCGCAUCAUCAGAGUUUGUUCCACAGACAACAGCCUUUUAACUACCAUCUUUGUGCAAAUGCUAGUAAAAUUACAUCAACAUGCGUAGCAUCAAUCUGCAACGCAAAUGCACUUUAAAAAAGCUUAAUAACUAUUGCUGCAAACUGGCGGGAAUAGAAAUUAUUCAAAUGUCACAAAACCUACACACCAUUAUUUGCAACUUGCAAUGUGUGUGCCUUCCAUUCCUAUGCUGGUUCACACAUCGGUUCCUUUUGGUUCACAAAUGACGCAAUUGACGGUGUAGAAUCGUAUCGAGAUGUUAGCAGACCGUUCUAGAGACGUCAAGCUGCUUCCCGACUUGCCAGACACUUUCGUGCCCAAGGACACCGGAAGAAUGUGCUGGAAAAUUCCACUACAACCUAUGCUGUACGGUAUCAUUUAUCUUUGGAGGCUUGUCAUUUUGUACACCACCAAUCCCCGUAUUGAUUGACGUGGAGUUGAUUUGGUUGAUUUUAUUAUAAUACGUUAUUAAUGCUGGGAGUGUGUAUCGCUAGGCCAGGGAUGUUUAAUUACCGGUACGGGAUCUGAUUGCUAACACGCCGGUGUCAGUCGGGUCAAAGCUGAGAUCUGAACUGAUUAAUCUUUGCAAUGAGCUUUCCAUAUCGAUCCCUUGAGGAUCGUCCUGUUGCAGGCAUAACUCUAGAGGUUAAUUAAUCUAGAGGGUGCUAUCUGAGGAUGUCAACAGUACAAAAUGGUACACAUUCAGCAAAUUCUUUCCCAUCACCACGAUGGCAACAAUAACGGCCUAAUGGUUUGAUGAAUGCGUUUCGCGAACAUAACCGGUUUAGUGGUGCGAUCAGUGCGUGACGUUACGCGAUGCAUAUACAAACACACAACCAUGCCGGGGACCCAGCCCGCCGAACACCGGUUUGAUGAUCAGCUGGUGACCUUGGCGGGAAGCGAUGUUUCACUUUAUGCCUACCGUAUGUUGUAAAACAUGAGAGCUUUUCGGUGUGUAUGCAAAAACCAUCACAACUUUGCUGGUUUUGGAGAGAGAGAAAGAUAAAACUGUUUGGUGCUUUAUUUGCUUGAUCUCUUUUUUGUUCGUUUAUUUUCACUGAUUGAAUGAAAGAGAUGAGAUGGUAGUGGUGAAUGUUGAUCGAUGCUAAUUAGUGGUAAUUUAAGCAGAAAAAAAAACUCAUAGCGCCAGCAAAGCACUUUCAUGGUGCGCAAAGUUUAAUACGGUUACAUUUUUUUUAAAUCACCAAAUUGCAUACCAAAAAAAAAUUAUGACAAUCUUCAACACUUUCGCUUUUAACAAUUAGCGUGUGGAAUUGCUGUGGCUAGACAUUAUGGGCCAGUGUGUCAAUACCCAGGCGUUCGCAAUAACACCGUACCGGCUUCUCCCCCUUGACGCAAUAUGCGCAAUGGAAAAGCUCACACGAGAUGUUUAAUCAUCUUUAUGUUGCGGGAGAUGAACACAAUUUGUUUCUUUCUUUGUGCAAUGGGAGUUAAUAGGAGAAGUGAAAUUGUUUCUAGGCAGGGGUUUAACCCGCGAAAAAUUGUAUGAUUCAUAGUUUAAGCGUUUUCAUUGCGUGUUUUUUCGUUU